UGGGGAAUCGUCUAACGGUAGGACACCAGACUCUGGAUCUGGGUGUGAGGGUUCGAAUCCUUCUUCCCCAGACA
rnacentral:tRNA from 1 species